rnacentral:lncRNA from 10 species
UGGGAGCUGAAUUCCCUGCUGUCAACGCCUAGGGGGGGAGCAGGAAGUUGGGACCGCAUUCCUUUCCCAAGCCCCUAGCUUUUGGCCAGCUCUGUCCUUGGGAUGUGCUGGUUUUAAGAAACAUCCCCAGAUGUCCAGGGUGCAACUUCAGGAAGGAGGAGAAUCCAGCUCCUAAACUCUACUCUGCAGCAUCUGCUGAAGGCCAUCAACUCAUCCCACUUCAGAUUGAAAGCAAAAGCUAUUUUCUCUACUUCUACACAAGAGCCCAGCCUAGAUAUCUUUCAGUCCUCAGCAUGCCUCGCUGUUUUCUUCCCACCCUACUCCUCCCUCAAGACUGCCUCCAAGCGCACUCCAUGGUGCAUGCAGAAGCAGAAAAUACCUCCAGGGAACUAAAUCCACCUAAUGACAAAUAAUGGUAGCUAUAGCAUUUGUACAGCCAUUUCCAAUUCACAAAGUGCUUUUCCUGCAGAUAUGAGGAAAGAGAGAAGGGAGAAAAAGGAAAAACCUAUUGAUUCAUAAUCUCUCAUUCAUUCAUUUUUUGGGCCCCUACUCAGCCAGACUGGCACAGAGUGGCAACAUGAAUAUGCAUAUUUAUAUUCUGAUAUGUUACAGUGGUUAGGAGCAUGAACCCUGGAGCCAGACCCUGUGGUGCCUCUCCAGGAGUUAGAGAAAGGUGUCCCUUCCUCCCAACAGUCACAGCUCUGCACCCAGGUGAGAGCAAGAUUUCAGACUCAACUGAUCCUUCCACCCUUGUGGACCCUUGUGCAGUGCAUGGCCAGCACAACUGUACAUGGUAGCACUGAUUUCAAUCCCGGCUCGUUCAGCUAUUGUGUAACCCUGGGCAAGUUUCUGAGCCUCUCUGUGGAUCUAUCUGUUCAUCUAGGAAAUGAGGAUAGUAAUAGUAUCUAUCUUACAAUAUUGGGGAGCAUGAAAUAAAAUAAUGCACAGGAAGUGCUUAGCACAGAACCUGACUGCAAAGAAGCACUUUGUAAGUAUGAUUAUAAUCAUUAUAUAUGAGACAUAGCCCCUGCCCUUGUGGAGUUGACAGUCUGGUGGGAGAGGCAGAUUGUAAAAACAUUAUAUCUGUUUAUGUCCAGGGUUGGAGGUGGGGUAGCAGGACAUGAGUGAGAAAACUGCUCUUGAUGGGUGAGUAGGAAUUCAAGCAGCAAAGAAAAGGUGGGCGUGGGA